rnacentral:rRNA from 1 species
UAUAUCGGAACGUGUCCUGUAGCGGGGGAUAACCUAUCGAAAGAUGGACUAAUACCGCAUACGCUCUACGGAGGAAAGCGGGGGUUCUUGGGCAACUGAGGACCUCGCACUAUAGGAGCGGCCGAUAUCGGAUUAGCUAGUUGGCGGGGUAAAAGCCCACCAAGGCGACGAUCCGUAGCUGGUCUGAGAGGAUGAUCAGCCACACUGGAACUGAGACACGGUCCAG